rnacentral:tRNA from 1 species
GCCCGAGUAGACGAAUGGCACAGUCAACCGCCUCAAAAGCGGUGCCGGAAGGCGUGUGGGUUCGAGUCCCACCUUGGGUA